rnacentral:lncRNA from 1 species
GGUGGAAGAAAAAAUGAUGGAGAUGUGGCGACAAUGGUGGAAACGAUGAUGAUGGUGGCAAAAAAUAAAAUAAUCGUAUAUGGUGGUGAAAAAGAAAACAGUGGACACAAUGGUAGAAGCGGUGAUAGGAGCAAAAAAUGAAACAACCAACGAUAACAAUGGUGGUAAUGUUAAAAAUAGAAAUGAUUGCGGCAAAAGAAAGUGAAAUGAUCAGAGAUAGAAAAAAUAAAAUUAUAAACUGAGAGAGAAAAAGAAAAUGUGUGGUGUGUGUGAUACAAAGGUAAAUAAUCAAUUAAACAUAACAUACAUAGAAUAUCAUAGUCAAUCAUGUGUUAUGUGUAGAAACUUAAUUUUUCAUAUACCAUGGACAUGUGACCUAAUUUCUCUGUAAAGAAAACAAUUGGUAUGAAUUCAUAUUUCAAAUGCAAGUAUAGCUUUCUUAUUAAAAUGUUUUAUAUAUUUUUGGUUCGAACAAAAAUGUUUUUAUAUUAAAAUGUUUUAUAUUGUUAAAGGCCCAUAAAAUAUUCAUUUUUGGUAAACUUCCAAAAUAACCUUCGAAAAUACUAGAAAGUUAAAUCUCUAACGAAUGGAAAUAACACAAAUUAAUAUAUUUUGUUAGAUAUGUUUUUAGUUUGCACGUAUGCAUUUAUUUUGGGAUAUGUAUCAGAAGAAGAAAAGCACACAAUCACUACAAAAAAGGGUAGUCUUACAUCAUUUAUUUUGAAUAUUUGCAUUACUUAUAAAUAAUGUAAAAGAGUUUUACAUCACUUAAAAAAUGACUCUGGAAGUGGUGAUGCAAAUAAUUACAUCAAUUCAUUUAAUAAUUGAUGCAAAAAUAUAAAUUAUUUACAUCAUUUACAUAAAUGAUGUUAUUAUGUAUCAAUUUCUGAUAAAUGAUAUUAGUUCUUACAUCAACUAUAUUAAAUGAUGUAAGUAUUUCUAUCAAUUAAAAUAAUUGAUUUAAUAAUUUGUAUCACUUAUAAAUAACUGACAUAUAAUUAAGGGUUUUGUGCAAAAAAACUCUCAAUGUGCAAAAAAACCCUAUAAUUAAUAUCAAUUUUAAGAAGUGAUUCAAAAAAUGUAUCAUUUAUAAUUACUGAUUUAAAGUAUUGUUAUCAUUUACUUAUAAUUGAUGUUACAUUUAUUUCAGUUUUCACAAAUGAUUCUAAUUAAAUGUAUCACUUAUAAAAAGUGAUGAAAAUAUUUUUUAUUUCCGUAUUUAUUAUUAAUCUACUAAUAAUAGUAAUCCCAAUUAAUUUCAAAAGUUGUUAAUCCACUUAUGUUGAAAUGUUGUGUAUUUUGUAAAAGAUGUCUAAAAGGUUGUGUCUUUUACAAAAAUGUUGGAAGGUUGUGUCUUUUAUAAAAAAUGUCUAAAGGUUGUGACUAUUUAUAUAAGUAUCUUUUAAAAAGUGAAAAGUUGUGACUAUAAGUAUCUUUUCAAAAUAACUACUUUUAUAUUGGAAAAAUGCGAUUAUUCAAAUUGAAGAGUUGUGACUAUUCAAAUAGAUUUUUAAAAUCUAUAAAUAGUCGAUGUCCAUGCAUUUGUCAAAGUAAAAUUUUCACUAAUCUCACUAAUUAUAAAAUGGUGAAAAAAAGUUCUAUGCAGUUAUUUGGUUACCAAAUUUUAAAAGAUAUUCAAAUGAAAUUUUGUCAACAAAAAAUAGUAGAAAGAGUUUUACGUGUUUGCCAAAAUCCUAAACGAAACAAUGUUAUUAGAUAAAAAGGUUUGUCUCCCACUAAACAAUACACUAAAGAGAAAUAUUAAUUUCUUUCAAUUGAAAUCUGGAAAGCAUCGUCUUCUUCAUCUCCCUCACAUUUUAUUUGUUAAUUUCUCCAAACCUCUGAACCCUCUCGCAUUUCUAAAUGUAUUUCGUGAGACUCGUCUUCAUGCUCUGUUAGUUUCUGUCUUGAUUUCCAUUGGAUUUUUAGAUUUCUUUUACUUGCUUAUUUACUUCUAAAAUGUAUUGUGUUAGUGGAAGAUGGUUCUUCGCUUUCCAACAUUUAGUGGGAUGAUAUCACGAUGAUGACGAAGCAUUAUAAGAAUGAUUUUGCUGUUGUUGAUUAAAAGGUAGCAAAGACUUUCAAGUCUUUGGCUAAUAUCUCAACAGCUUUUGCUCUGUCAUUACUGAAACAAACACACACAAAUGUAAAAUCAAUUCAAGAAAGAACACACUAGUCUUUAAAUUCAAGCAAGAAUAAACCAUUUACCGAUCUAGAGCUUCGAGAUACUUUUGCUUCCUGAUCUCAAAGAAAAUCUUCAUAGAGUAACGAUUAUCAUCAACUUUGGUAAACCCUGAGAGAUACUUCUCCACUUCGUCCCACUCACCAGCUAAAGCUUUCUCUUCAAAGUACUUUAUAUUAAAGUAGAACCCAGAUUCCUGCUCUAGCCUUUUAACACACACACAAAUCAAAACCAAAAUUACAAAAACUCAUCCAACACAAAAUCUUAACAGACAAAGAAAGAACAAAAAGACUUACUUGUGAACAGAUUCCUUGAACUUCUCUUCAUCUAAGAACUGGAGGAUUAAGAAAACUAACUCUCUGCUCAGAGACGACAUUUCAUUAAACUCUCGAGGUUCGGAUCUGGUGUGUUCGUGUGAGACGGGUCUUGAUUUAAGUCGUCGUCUGGAAAUGGUUUUCUAGGGUUUUUUUGUUCUCCUCCAUCUACAAACGAUAAAGGCUGACCCCCAGAGACAGAGAUAGAAGGUUGAUAAGAUAUCUCGCUUAUCAGUGAUAAGCGCUCUUGUUGUUAUAUAAGCUGAUAUCCUCGUUGAUCUGCGCUGUUUGGUCUGAUCCUUUUGCUUGGAUUUUAUCUGAUGCGCUUACGCCUACGAAAAAGCGGAAGUGUGGAUCCAAGAACUCUCUGUCGGUAGUCUAUAAUAACACGUGGCGUAUUAUUGUGCGGAUCUGUUAAAUGAAAAAGGUGGGAUGCAAAGUAGAUGAUAAUAACUCGUAAGUGGACGCGGAUUCGAGAGAUGGAAUUGAACUGGAUUGAGCAGAGUUCACUUGCGUCCGCCACAUGUUACGUUGUCAGGAGGGAUGACGUGGUCUCGGUAUCUCCGUUCAUCUCGUAGCGCGAUUUUGUCGGCUGGUUAUUAAAAUAUUAGUUGUACGUGAGCAGUGAGCUGCAGUGAAAAAAAAAAAAAAUUGUGCGUGAGCUGAUUCAUAGUGAAAACAGUUUUUUUUUUAAUUGUGUAAAUGUUAAGAAGAUAUAAAGAAAGCACAAUUUGUUGGAUAUUCAUAAGAAUCAUAAAAAUGAAGAAUAUACUCAUUUUACGGUAUUAUCUUUUCGAUGUGAUAAGUUACGCCUAAAAAAUGACUGAUUUUCUCCUUUGGAGCGCGUGCGCGUGGAGAAAAAAUUCAAAGUGAAAAGAAAAGACAGACAAUAGACUCUACUAUAUUCAGUGUAGUAUGGUCAUAUUAUCAAACACACAAAUGGUUUCCAAAUACAAUUUAUACUUCCAUAUGUGUCAUUGCAUAAGUUCUAAGUGGUGUACUGUAUUUGUUGUGAGAAAAGAAAACUGAAAUAGAUGAAGAAAGUGCUUUAAGAAACAUGGAAAUAAACAGACGGUUGCAAAAUACAUUUGUAAACUAUACUAUAUUACAAACAUUAUAGUAUUGUAAUUGUUAUGAGCCAUGUAAAUCAUAAGGUGUAGGAGAAAAUACUAUUUGCGGAGGAGUUUGUGGCACUAUCGCCGGAGUUGUCCACUUUUCAAUUAUGAAACUUAAUUAUACUAUAUCGGAUACUAUACCACAUUAUAUAUUUAAAUGGUAUAGUCUUUGUUUUACUGGUUCAAGGUGUUUAACUUUUUGGCAAUUGUCAAUUUUUAGUAAUAUAGUAUAGGGUAUGUAAUCACUUAGUUUUAAUCAAUAAAUAUUACUACUUAAUUCAUAAAAUGAUACAUCAACAAAAUAUAACACAUAUCUCUUACUUUAAAAUCACAUUUCUAUUCUAUUUCACUAAAUAGAAUAGCACUAAACAAAUUUACAUUUAAGAAGAAGAAGAGUGACUAGGCGGAAGAGGAUAUAUGAUUAGUAGAGAAGAUAAACUGGUUCAAUUGCCAAAGUUGGUGAGAAAAAGUAACCAUUGCAUAAGAUGGAAGAGAAAAUGAGACAGUGGAAAAAAGUAAAGAGAUAACCAGUGGUGACAGUGGUGGAAGAAAAAAUGAUGGAGAUGUGGCGACAAUGGUGGAAACGAUGAUGAUGGUGGCAAAAAAUAAAAUAAUCGUAUAUGGUGGUGAAAAAGAAAACAGUGGACACAAUGGUAGAAGCGGUGAUAGGAGCAAAAAAUGAAACAACCAACGAUAACAAUGGUGGUAAUGUUAAAAAUAGAAAUGAUUGCGGCAAAAGAAAGUGAAAUGAUCAGAGAUAGAAAAAAUAAAAUUAUAAACUGAGAGAGAAAAAGAAAAUGUGUGGUGUGUGUGAUACAAAGGUAAAUAAUCAAUUAAACAUAACAUACAUAGAAUAUCAUAGUCAAUCAUGUGUUAUGUGUAGAAACUUAAUUUUUCAUAUACCAUGGACAUGUGACCUAAUUUCUCUGUAAAGAAAACAAUUGGUAUGAAUUCAUAUUUCAAAUGCAAGUAUAGCUUUCUUAUUAAAAUGUUUUAUAUAUUUUUGGUUCGAAC